GUGUGCGAUCAUACCAGUACUAAUGCACCGGAUCCCAUCAAAAGUUUGCAAUUAAGAGUGCUUGGGCGAGAGUUGUCUUUGGUUGGUUGACCUCCUGGGAAGUCCUCGUGUUGAACCCC
rnacentral:rRNA from 1 species